UACGUAGGGUGCGAGCGUUAAUCGGAAUUACUGGGCGUAAAGCGUGCGCAGGCGGUUCGCCGUGUCCGAUGCGAAAGCCCCGGGCUUAACCUGGGAAUGGCAUUGGAAACUGCCAGGCUUGAAUAUGGAAGAGGGUCGCGGAAUUCCCGGUGUAGAGGUGAAAUUCGUAGAUAUCGGGAGGAACACCAGUGGCGAAGGCGGCGACCUGGGCCAAUAUUGACGCUGAGGUGCGAAAGCGUGGGGAGCAAACAGG
rnacentral:rRNA from 1 species